GACAUAGGUGGCAAACGUUAUCCGGAAUUACUGGGCGUAAAGGGUGUGCAGGCGGGGAAGCAAGGGGGGUAUGAAAUCUCCCAGCUUAACUGGGAUAGGUUAUGCCAGACUGCUUUUCUAGAGGACGAGAGAGGGGGGUGGAAUUCCGGGUGUAGUGGUGAAAUGCGUAGAGAUCCGGAGGAACCCCAGAGGCGAAGGCGGCCCCCUGGCUCGUACCUGACGCUCAGCCACGAAAGCAUGGGGAGCGAACGGG
rnacentral:rRNA from 1 species